rnacentral:antisense_RNA from 1 species
CUUCAAGGACCCGAGCCACAGAGGAUGGUCGGCGUCACGGUCCUUGCCGUAGGUGGCGAGCAGCGCCUGCGCCUC